CAAUAGCGUAUAUUUAAGUUGUUGCAGUUAAAAAGCUCGUAGUUGGAUUUCGGUUAAGAGCGACCGGUCCGCCGUUUGGUGUGCACUGGUUGGUUUUAACUUCCUGUAGAGGACGUGCUCUGGGUUUAACGACCUGGACUCGGAGUCUACGUGGUUACUUUGAAAAAAUUAGAGUGUUCAAAGCGGGCUUACGCUUGAAUAUUUCGGCAUGGAAUAACACUAUAGGACUCCUGUCCUAUUUCGUUGGUCUCGGGACGGGAGUAAUGAUUAAGAGGAACAGUUGGGGGCAUUCGUAUUUCAUUGUCAGAGGUGAAAUUCUUGGAUUUAUGAAAGACGAACUGCUGCGAAAGCGUCUGCUAAGGAUGUUUUCAUUGA
rnacentral:rRNA from 1 species